ACUAUUUUGGCAGAAAAGUGUAAUAGAUUUAGAAUCUAUAAAUGUAAUUAAUAUUACAAAUAGUA
rnacentral:tRNA from 1 species